CUUAAGCAUAUCAAUAAGCGGAGGAAAAGAAACCAACAGGGAUUGCCUCAGUAACGGCGAGUGAAGCGGCAUAAGCUCAAAUUUGAAAUCUGGCUCUUUCAGAGUCCGAGUUGUAAUUUGUAGAAGAUGCUUCGAGUGUGGUUCCGGUCUAAGUUCCUUGGAACAGGACGUCAUAGAGGGUGAGAAUCCCGUAUGUGACUGGAUACCUUCGCUCAUGUGAAGCUCUUUCGACGAGUCGAGUUGUUUGGGAAUGCAGCUCAAAAUGGGUGGUAAAUUUCAUCUAAAGCUAAAUAUUGGCCAGAGACCGAUAGCGCACAAGUAGAGUGAUCGAAAGAUGAAAAGCACUUUGGAAAGAGAGUUAAACAGUACGUGAAAUUGUUGAAAGGGAAGCGCUUGCAAUCAGACUUGCGCCUAGUUGAUCAUCCGGGCUUCUGUCCGGUGCACUCGAUUAGGCUCAGGCCAGCAUCGGUUUGGGUGGUUGGAUAAAGGCCUUGAGAAAGUAGCCUCCUUCGGGGGGUGUUAUAGCUCUCGGUGCAAUGCAGCCUACCUGGACCGAGGACCGCGCUUCGGCUAGGAUGCUGGCGUAAUGGUUGUAAGCGACCCGUCUUGAAACACGGACCAAGGAGUUGACCUAAUUAGCGAGUGUUUGGGUGUUAAACCCAUACGCGUAAUGAAAGUGAACGGAGGUAAGAACCCUUAAGGGUGCAUUAUCGACCGAUCCUGAUGUCUUCGGAUGGAUUUGAGUAAGAGCUAAUUGGGUCUGACCCGAAAGAUGGUGAUCUAUACGUGAAUAGGGUGAAGCCAGAGGAAACUCUGGUGGAGGCUCGCAGCGGUUCUGACGUGCAAAUCGAUCGUCAAAUUUGCGUAUAGGGGCGAAAGACUAAUCGAAACCCCAU
rnacentral:rRNA from 1 species